GCGCCCUUAGCUCAGUUGGAUAGAGCAACGGCCUUCUAAGCCGUGUGUCAGGAGUUCGAAUCUCUUAGGGCGCA
rnacentral:tRNA from 1 species